rnacentral:rRNA from 1 species
CCUACGGGUGGCAGCAGUGGGGAAUAUUGGGCAAUGGAGGCAACUCUGACCCAGCAACGCCGCGUGAAUGAAGAAGGCUUUCGGGUUGUAAAGUUCUUUAAUGGGGGACGAAGAAAGUGACGGUCCCCUUAGAUUAAGCCACGGUUACUUACGUGCCAGCAGCCGCGGUAAUACGUAGGUGGCAAGCGUUGCCCGGAUUGACUGGGCGUAAGGGGAGGGUAGACGGAGGGAUAAGUCAGGAGUGAAAUCCCGGGGCUCAACCCCGGAACUGCUUUGAAAACUGCCGUGCUUGAGUGAUGGAGAGGGAAGCGGAAUUCCUAGUGUAGCGGUGGAAUGCGUAGAUAUUAGGAAGAACACCAGAGGCGAAGGCGGCUUACUGGACGAUAACUGACGGUGAGGCUCGAAAGCGUGGGGAGCAAACAGGAUUAGAUACCCUUGUAGUC